AUUGAACGCUGGCGGCAGGCCUAACACAUGCAAGUCGAGCGGAUGAAGGGAGCUUGCUCCUGGAUUCAGCGGCGGACGGGUGAGUAAUGCCUAGGAAUCUGCCUGGUAGUGGGGGAUAACGUCCGGAAACGGGCGCUAAUACCGCAUACGUCCUGAGGGAGAAAGUGGGGGAUCUUCGGACCUCACGCUAUUAGAUGAGCCUAGGUCGGAUUAGCUAGUUGGUGGGGUAAAGGCCUACCAAGGCGACGAUCCGUAACUGGUCUGAGCGGAUGAUCAGUCACACUGGAACUGAGACACGGUCCAGACUCCUACGGGAGGCAGCAGUGGGGAAUAUUGGACAAUGGGCGAAAGCCUGAUCCAGCCAUGCCGCGUGUGUGAAGAAGGUCUUCGGAUUGUAAAGCACUUUAAGUUGGGAGGAAGGGCAGUAAGUUAAUACCUUGCUGUUUUGACGUUACCAACAGAAUAAGCACCGGCUAACUUCGUG
rnacentral:rRNA from 1 species